AAAGGAAGGUUAGAGUACCCUCACUGUGUGGUGGUAAAGGAAGAAUAAUACUAUAGUUUAGCUGUUGAUAGUAGUGAGGCUGGUAGGAUUGUGGAGGAAGCACAGGGAAAUAGUAGCUUUAGAAUUCUCUCUGGGGUAAAGAACCCUGGCAAAAGGUUAGGAAAGCUCUGGAGAAGUCACUGGCAUGAUGAAAGCUCUAGUGAUGAGCCAUGAUGAAAGGUUAGAAUCCUGACUUCUAGGUAGGUGCUCGCUGAAGACCAGAGCAGAGAGGGAUGAAAAAUUGUGCCUGAAAAGGAUAGAAGUGGCUUAAAUUUGUUUUUGUUGAAGACUUAUUAGGGGACUUUGAUGGAGAUCCCUGGGACUCCCUGACCUGAGAAAAGGGUAACACUUAACAGGAUAAGAAGAUAAAAAGGGUUGGGGGCUUGAGAUAAAUACAGUUACAUACUUGUAUCAGGAAGGGAGAGAAGGAGAGGCCUGCAGGUAGACUGAAGAAGAUGGAAGUCCACAAAGGAUAUAUAGAACUUAUCUGCUUACUGCAGGAUACCUGUAUGUGGGUUAAAACCUAGAGGAAAGAUAGGGAAAUCCAGACACUACAAGGAGCCCUGAUAACAGUGGUGCAAAAACCCUGGAGAACAGAAGUAGAAUGACUAGUGAGUGUGGACUUGGCUCAAGGGUUGGCUGUGAGGCUGCUCGACUUUUGUUUGUGGGACUCGCUCUUCACCUUGAAGGGGUGAGACUCUGAAGCCUCCUGGUUGGAGGGCUGAGUCAUGAGAAGAUGCUGACCACCACAGGGCUGGAGUGACUUGGCAGGGGACAUAUGAAGAGUGCUUGCUGUACUAUCAUCAGGGGUGUGUGUGUGCUGAUUGGAGGUGGGAUAGAAUAGAACCCUGCAGCACUUCAGACAAGUGGAGAAAGAGCAAUUGUCCAGCACAACCCUCUUCUUCUCAGGGACCAUGGAACCAGGAGGAUGUGUUGGACCUGCUCUGAACAAGCUAGUUUGUGUAUUUGGAACCCUGAAGGAACAAUGCCAUCAGAUGGAACUUCUGCAGUUGUGGAUGGAGAAUCCGACUGUUGCCCUGGAAGAGCAGAUUCGGUCUGUUGGGAAGAUGUCUUGCAGGGUGAAUGGACAUGCACAGCUGGUAAGGAUACCAUGUCUGUCUGGGCCAGGCCGGGACAAUAAGUAUGGUCCUGGCCUUGUCCUCUUUGAUCUUGCGCAAGACUCCGUGUGUUAGUGGGACCGGUGGAAAAGCAUACAUGAGUACCUUGUUCUACGGAAUGAGGAAUGUGUCUCGGAGG